rnacentral:misc_RNA from 1 species
AACAAAAUAAAAAAAUAAAAUAAAAACUUUUCACCAUAUGUUGUGAAUCAGGAAAUAAGCAUCAAAUAGGGAACAGAAAAAAGACAGGAGCAAUGUUGUCAUAUACAUACAAGGAUGAAUAAGUCGUAUGUAUGUAAAGAAAGUACAUCAAAAUGUGAGAAAAAAUUUAUGAGGGUAUAUUUGUAAUACCUAUAAACUAUCCACCUGAAAUCAGCUCUCAUCCGCUUUCAAGAAUCUAUAUUAAACUAAAGAAUACGCUGACUUUCAUUCAAACAACUCAAACUAAAAUCAUGUCCAAAUCCCCUCAUCCACACAUAGCAUUUCUGCUAAUAAUAAGUAUAAAUUCAUUUCUUCACAUUGAGUGUCUUUUGAAAAAUCUGGGUUUUUUUGGGUAUUCCGGCAAAAGAUCCCAUAGAAAACAACAUACUGAUUGUACCUUUUUUUAAUGAGUAGAGCUAGCCAAAGAAACAAUCAAUAAGUUGGAAUUAAAUGAAUGAGAUAAUCUGAUAGUUGCAGUAGGUACCUCUAGGCUCUAGCAGUAAAAAUAAGUACAGCAAGCAAAUUAUAUCUGAAACCUGAGUAAAUAAAUUGUUCUUCCUCUAUGAAAAAAAUAGCAUUCACAUGCACAAUGGAGCAUUCACAACUUAACCACCACCUAUGCACCACACAGGCACAUGCAACAGACAGGAGAGGAAGAA